rnacentral:lncRNA from 1 species
CAGGUCAGCCAAGCUGCUGAAGCAGGCAACUGAGCAUAGGACCAGGUCAGCCAAGCUGCUCAAGCAAGCUGCUAAGCGUGGGACCAGGAGAGCUAAGCGCCUAGCCCACCAGAAAAAUGAUUGUUAGGUCAACUCAUGGAACAUCCUACUUUUUCUUUGCUUGAAGGCCAAGAAUAUGACCUCUUGGAUGACAUAAGGCUAUGACAAGAAGGAGGAGAUGUCACCAUGUAUAUAACCUAGCCCACCAUAGGGAUCAAGUAGGGGC